CAGGCCUAACACAUGCAAGUCGAGGGGUAACAGGUAGAAAGCUUGCUUUCUAUGCUGACGACCGGCGCACGGGUGAGUAACGCGUAUGCAACCUACCUUUAACUGGAAGAUAGCCCCGAGAAAUCGGGAUUAAUACUCCAUAACAUUAUGAUAUCGCAUGAUAUUGUAUUUAAAGCUCCGGCGGUUAAAGAUGGGCAUGCGUGACAUUAGUUUGUUGGUAAGGUAACGGCUUACCAAGACAUCGAUGUCUAGGGGUUCUGAGAGGAUUGUCCCCCACACUGGUACUGAGACACGGACCAGACUCCUACGGGAGGCAGCAGUGAGGAAUAUUGGUCAAUGGUCGAAAGACUGAACCAGCCAUGCCGCGUGCAGGAUGAAUGCGCUAUGCGUUGUAAACUGCUUUUCUACAGGAAGAAACCUACUUACGUGUAAGUAGCUGCCGGUACUGUAGGAAUAAGCACCGGCUAACUCCGUGCCAGCAGCCGCGGUAAUACGGAGGGUGCAAGCGUUAUCCGGAUUUAUUGGGUUUAAAGGGUGCGUAGGCGGAAUAUUAAGUCAGUGGUGAAAUCCUGCGGCUCAACCGUAGAACUGCCAUUGAUACUGUUAUUCUUGAAUGUAGUUGAGGUAGGCGGAAUGUGUAAUGUAGCGGUGAAAUGCUUAGAUAUUACACAGAACACCGAUUGCGAAGGCAGCUUACUAAACUAUGAUUGACGCUGAUGCACGAAAGCGUGGGGAGCGAACAGGAUUAGAUACCCUGGUAGUCCACGCUGUAAACGAUGAUCACUCGUUGUUUGCGAUAUAUUGUAAGCGACUGAGCGAAAGCAUUAAGUGAUCCACCUGGGGAGUACGUCGGCAACGAUGAAACUCAAAGGAAUUGACGGGGGCCCGCACAAGCGGAGGAACAUGUGGUUUAAUUCGAUGCAACGCGAAGAACCUUACCAGGUCUUGACAUCCCGAGAAUUUACUAGAGAUAGUUUAGUGCCU
rnacentral:rRNA from 1 species